rnacentral:rRNA from 1 species
GAUGAACGCUGGCGGCGUGCCUAACACAUGCAAGUCGAGCGUGAUUUAUGAGGACGAAACUUCGGUCUAGGAAUCAUAAUGAAAGCGGCGGACGGGUGAGUAACGCGUAGGCAACCUGCCCUUAACACAGGGAUAGCCUCGGGAAACCGGGAUUAAAACCUGAUGAUGCCAAAGAGUCACAUGGCUCGUUGGCCAAAGAUUUAUCGGUUAAGGAUGGGCCUGCGUCUGAUUAGUUUGUUGGUGGGGUAACGGCCUACCAAGACUACGAUCAGUAGCCGACCUGAGAGGGUGAUCGGCCACAUUGGAACUGAGACACGGUCCAAACUCCUACGGGAGGCAGCAGUGGGGAAUAUUGCACAAUGGGCGAAAGCCUGAUGCAGCAACGCCGCGUGAGCGAUGAAGGCCUUUGGGUCGUAAAGCUCUGUCCUUGGGGAAGAAACAAAUGACGGUACCCAAGGAGGAAGCCCCGGCUAACUACGUGCCAGCCGCCGCGAUAACAC